rnacentral:rRNA from 1 species
AAUUUUGCGCAAUGGGGGAAACCCUGACGCAGCAACGCCGCGUGAGUGAAGAAGGCCUUUGGGUCGUAAAGCUCUGUCAACUGGGAAGAAAUUACAAUUAUCCAAUAGGUAGUUGUAUUGACGGUACCAGUGGAGGAAGCGCCGGCUAACUCCGUGCCAGCAGCCGCGGUAACACGGGGGGCGCAAGCGUUAUUUGGAAUUAUUGGGCGUAAAGGGCGCGUAGGCGGUCUUGUCGGUCAGAUGUGAAAGCCCGGGGCUCAACCCUGGAAGUGCAUUUGAAACAGCAAGACUUGAGUACUGGAGAGGAGAGCGGAAUUCCUGGUGUAGAGGUGAAAUUCGUAGAUAUCAGGAGGAACACCGAUGGCGAAGGCAGCUCUCUGGACAGAUACUGACGCUGAGGCGCGAAGGCGUGGGUAGCGAACAGGAUUAGAUACCCUGGUAGUCCACGCAGUA